rnacentral:rRNA from 1 species
GACGAACGCUGGCGGCGUGCUUAACACAUGCAAGUCGAACGGAAAGGCCCUGCUUUUGUGGGGUGCUCGAGUGGCGAACGGGUGAGUAACACGUGAGUAACCUGCCCUUGCCUUUGGGAUAACUUCAGGAAACUGGGGCUCAUACCGGAUAGGAGCUCCUGCUGCAUGGUGGGGGUUGGAAAGUUUCGGCGGUUGGGGAUGGACUCGCGGCUUUUCAGCUUGUUGGUGGGGUUGUGGCUUACCAAGGCUUUGACGGGUAGCCGGCCUGAGAGGGUGACCGGCCACAUUGGGACUGAGAUACGGCCCAGACGCCUACGGGAGGCAGCAGUGGGGAAUAUUGCACAAUGGGCGGAAGCCUGAUGCAGCAACGCCGCGUGCGGGAUGACGGCCUUCGGGUUGUAAACCGCUUUCGCCUGUGACGAAGCGGGAGUGACGGUAAUGGGUAAAGAAGCACCGGCUAACUACGUG